rnacentral:rRNA from 1 species
GACGAACGCUGGCGGCGUGCUUAACACAUGCAAGUCGAACGAAGUGGCGCACGGGUGAGUAACGCGUAAUCAACCUGCCCUUCAGAGGGGGACAACAGUUGGAAACGACUGCUAAUACCGCAUACUGAAGGAGGGGAUUGCGUCUGAUUAGCUAGUUGGGGGGGUAACGGCCCACCAAGGCGAUGAUCAGUAGCCGGGCUGGGAGGGUGAACGGCCACAUUGGGACUGAGAAACGGCCCAGACUCCUACGGGAGGCAGCAGUGGGGAAUCUUUCGCAAUGGACGGAAGUCUGACGGAGCAACGCCGCGGGAGUGAUGAAGGGCUUCGGGUUGUAAAGCUCUGUUAAUCGGGACGCGGUACCGGAAUAGAAAGCCACGGCUAACUACGUGCCAGCAGCCGCGGUAAUUC